UCGGUAGUUUAGUUUACAAUUUUAUAUCGUUUCGUUCUAUAGAAUAUAUUUAUGAGUGAAUAUAUUCUUACUGUAUUUUAUUGACACAACAUAACCAAAUUAACAAUUUGUUUUAAUGUAAAUUAUUUUUCAAAUAUACAAUGUCUAUUGAAAUAGAAUCUGCUGAUGUAAUUCGUUUGAUACAGCAAUAUUUGAAAGAAUCAAAUCUUGUAAAAACGUUACAAACUUUACAGGAAGAAACCGGAGUAUCGCUUAAUACAGUGGAUAGUGUAGAUGGAUUUGUGGCUGAUAUAAAUAAUGGUCAUUGGGACACAGUGCUUAAAGCUAUACAAUCUUUGAAGUUACCUGAUAAAAAAUUGAUAGAUUUAUAUGAGCAGGUUGUUUUAGAAUUAAUUGAAUUGAGAGAAUUAGGAGCAGCACGUUCUUUGUUAAGACAAACAGAUCCUAUGAUUAUGAUGAAACAGCAAGAACCUGAAAGAUACAUACAUCUAGAAAAUCUGCUUGCUCGUUCAUAUUUCGAUCCACGAGAAGCUUAUCCAGAUGGAAGUACAAAAGAAAAAAGAAGAGCUUAUAUAGCAACUGCACUUGCAGGAGAAGUUUCUGUAGUACCUUCCAGCAGGUUGCUCGCUCUUUUGGGUCAAGCAUUAAAAUGGCAACAACACCAAGGUUUAUUGCCACCAGGAACAACGAUAGAUUUGUUUAGAGGAAAAGCAGCAGUGAGAGAUCAAGAGGAUGAAAAAUACCCUACGCAAUUAUCAAAACAAAUCAAAUUUGGACAAAAAUCACAUGUAGAAUGUGCUCGUUUUUCACCAGAUGGUCAAUAUUUGGUCACUGGAUCUGUAGAUGGUUUUAUUGAAGUUUGGAAUUUUACAACAGGGAAGAUAAGAAAAGAUUUGAAAUAUCAAGCUCAAGAUAAUUUUAUGAUGAUGGAACAAGCUGUUUUAUCAAUGUCUUUUAGUCGUGAUAGUGAAAUGUUAGCAGGAGGUGGGCAAGAUGGAAAAAUGAAAGUAUGGAGAGUACAAAGUGGUCAAUGUUUAAGGAGAUUUGAAAAAGCACAUUCAAAAGGUGUUACUUGUUUACAAUUUAGUAGAGAUAAUAGCCAAAUUUUAUCAGCUUCAUUUGACACCACUAUAAGAAUACACGGAUUGAAGUCUGGUAAAACUCUUAAGGAAUUUCGAGGACACACUUCAUUCGUCAAUGAGGUUGUGUUUGCACCUGAUGGUCAUAAUAUUAUUAGUGCUUCCUCAGAUGGUACUGUGAAAGUUUGGAGUUUAAAAACAACAGAGUGCAUAGGAACUUAUAAAUCUUUGGGAGCUGCCGAUUUAACAGUAAACAGUGUACAUCCUCUUCCACGAAAUCCAGAACAUUUUGUUGUUUGCAAUCGAUCAAAUACUGUAGUUAUUAUGAAUAUGCAAGGACAGAUAGUAAGGUCAUUUUCCAGUGGUAAACGAGAAGGUGGAGAUUUUGUAUGUACGGUUGUAAGUCCACGCGGUGAAUUUAUUUAUUGUGUUGGCGAAGAUCUCGUACUUUAUUGUUUUUCCACAUCAUCUGGCAAAUUAGAGAGAACUCUUAAUGUACAUGAUAAAGACGUAAUCGGUUUAGCGCAUCAUCCUCAUCAGAACUUGUUAUGUUCGUACAGUGAAGAUGGGCUAUUAAAGCUAUGGAAACCGUGAACGAAAUAAAUUUCACAGUCACGUAGUGUAAGCAUAUCGAUGCCGCUUUCGUGGGAGGAUGAUAUGGAAAGUUUCGAGCACACCUAAAUUCAGUACCGCGGUGAGAUCUCAAGGGAUUUGCAUUCGCGGAUAGGUGGUAAUUAUUCGCUACGGAAUAUCGCAAUUAUCGAAUUAACCCUCGCACCCCCACAUAAUUGCUCGCGACUUCACGAUUUAAGUGGAUAAUCACUGGGGAUCACGGAGGUACGUUCGUGGUCCGCUGAAAUUUGGCAAGCGUCAGAAUGUGGGGCGCCUCUUCGAUGCACUGUGUAAUUUUGGGUUUUCGCUAAAAAUUCUUCACUUCAAUUAUGUUUCAUUAUCGAAGAUUCAAGCGGCACGAAGUUGGUUCAAUGCUGAGAAAAUGGAUCUUAUUGCCGAUUGAAAGGAUCCUGUCGGUCACACAGGAGGGUGCCGCAUUGUUAUUUUGUAACCACCACUGUCUCUCUUUCCCUCUCUCUCUUUCUCUCUUGGUUCGUUGUUUCAUUGGGCGCUCCCCAGUGCUCACCACCAAAAAGUCCAUUGUAUCGCCGAUUUCAAUACACGAAUUGUUUUCGAA